GCCGCAGUAGCUCAGUCUGGCUAGAGCGUUUCAUUGGUAAUGAAAAGGUCCUGAGUUCGAUCCUCAGCUGUGGCU
rnacentral:tRNA from 1 species